UUUUUUUUAAUGUUUUUAAUGUUGUAUGAAUGUACGUAGUUAAAUGACAGUUUAAUAUGCUGUUUAAUUAGACGAAUUGUAGGAACUGAACUGACAUCAAAUAUGCUGAUCAUUCUAAGAAUCUCAGAUGCUGUCAUUAUCUUAGGCUUCUUUUUAUUCUAACAGCUUCUGCAUCUUAGCUCAUAUUCUCUCUUAAAUAGUAGGAUUCAAUAAAUAGCUUGGCAAUUAUACUUGGUUCGUAGUCUUGAUCUUGGAGACAUAAUUAAUCCAACUGAGUUCUUUGUAAAUCAGAUUGCAAUCUCAAAUAAAACAAAAUUAGUUUUUGUCUAAACGAGAGGUUAACUAUUUUUUUUGUUUUUUGAGCCGUAGUUAGUUAGGUUCUAUUAUAGACUGCUGCUUGAGAGAGAUCCAAAUGGAUUUAGGCUUUUGGCAUAAUUUUUUACUACCCUGAUGGGGGCCCCUUUCUUCACUUCUCUUAGAUGUUGAUUUAGGACGAAAACUUUGGACCUUGGAUUUAUGCUUCACGCAGAAAAUUUACUCAUGGAGCCCAGGACAUAUGAAUGAGCAAACAUCCAUUUAUAUUCUUCGAGAAUGCCUAAGAAUGAUUGGGUAUCAUGGAGAUUCUUGACUGUGGUAAAGUCUAGUAGUCAAACAUGAUGUAGUGAUGGUAGAUCGAGCGGUAUAAGCUUGACUUGGUUAAGAAUCCUAUUGUUGGUAUUUAGGUUCUGGAGUUUUUGAUUUACUUGGUCAUUAGAUGUUUGUAAUCAAUUAUGGGGAUGCUUAUACACUUGCUUAUUUUGUUUGACUUUGUGGAUCUUAUUGAUCUUGAAGCACAUAAACUAUGAUCACUGUAACAUCUUUGCAUUGUCACAUCUAGCUUUAUCACUGGUCUAAAACUCUAAAUGCCCCCCAAAAUUGAUGUAGGACUUUGUUGGUUUGGUUAGUUUAUGAUUCAUUGCUUGGAUUUAAGCUUGAUCAACGUUUGUAUAUGUAUAAUGUUUAUGAAAGACUUCAUCUUAUAAGGCUAGUCAUUUCAUUUCUUUUGUCAAAUCAUAUUACAUGACUGAAGAAACUUGGUUUCUUCUUACCCAGGUGUGUGCAAUCAUGCUUUUCACUUCCACUGCAUCAGCCGAUGGCUCAAGACCCGCCAAGUGUGCCCUCUUGGUAUGCCUUCACCAAUUCAAUUACCUAUUUUGCACUUUAUGGUAUUAUGUGACAAAUUACUCAACUCUUAUGUGGCUUCCUCAUUCUUUCAGACAAUAGCGAGUGGGAAUUCCA
rnacentral:misc_RNA from 1 species